rnacentral:rRNA from 1 species
AACGCGAAGAACCUUACCUGGGCUUGACAUGCAUCGUGUCGCCGGUGAAAGCCGGCUAGUGUAGCAAUACACGCUUUGCACAGGUGCUGCAUGGCUGUCGUCAGCUCGUGUCGUGAGAUGUUGGGUUAAGUCCCGCAACGAGCGCAACCCUUGUCCUGUGUUGCCAUGCCGAAAGGCGGAACUCGCAGGAGACCGCCAGCGAUAAGCUGGAGGAAGGUGGGGAUGACGUCAAGUCCUCAUGGCCUUUAUGUCCAGGGCUACACACGUGCGUACAAUGGCCGGUACAAAGCGCUGCUAAGUCGCAAGACGGAGCCAAUCGCAGAAAACCGGUCUCAGUUCGGAUUGCAGGCUGCAACUCGCCUGCAUGAAGCUGGAAUCGCUAGUAAUGGCGGAUCAGAACGCCGCCGUGAAUACGUUCCCGGGCCUUGUACACACCGGAGUA